AAGGCAAAUAUUUACUGCUGAACGCAUAAACACAGGACGGAAGAACACACGGUAAGUUGGUUGCUAUGACGAUUCUCCUUGACAAAGGCCAUAUUUGUUUGUUCUGCGCUUUGUAUAUUCUUUUCGUUGCUGUUCCGCCUUUUCAUGCUAUAGGCAUCACGUGUGUUAGUACAAGCGUAUCCAUGUUGUCUGUCAGCUUCUGAACACUGCGCAGUAUUUUGUCUCUAGUGUUUGAUCCGGAAGGAAGCUCACGUUUCAUUUCGAUUCGCACGUGAAGAAAAAAACCAUCCAAGUGCAAAAAAUAAACUAACAAAGAAUUGGUUCAUUGGGAUUUGAGUAUACUUCAUAUUGAACGUUUCUUUUCACUUACGUAAAUGGAUUGCCCAUCGAACGGCUAUGUCGCGUUUUAACGGAUUAGCAAACCAAGAAAAACAAGGAAUUUUCAACAGGCAUUGUUUCGACAAGCCGAAAAAUUGAUACAGUACUCUUGUAAAAUAGCCGUAGCCAAUUUUAUUUUUCUUCCACAGUUCCGAAACCAGGAUACGCCAUCGUGUGGAAACUCCCGACCGCGCCGACUCCGAUUAGGGUGAACCGGAAAGAACAACGAUGAUAGGAUAAACAUGACGAGUCUACCAAUCCUUUAACGAGCAAAGAGAGCGGAGGACUAUAUUUCCUUUGUCCAGCCAAUUCUGAAACUGAAAGGAAAUUUCGUUUUUCUCAUUGUCAGUGCACCGUCAUUUGAAAACGACAAAAUUUUUGCUCGAUUUGGAAGCAGUACAGCUGCUGGAAAAUCGCGAAGAGAAAAGAUAGCAUGAAGCCGUACUACGUCUCCUCUAUUCGUUCCAUUUCAUACCCGAACAACCACACACACACACAACACCCAGACACUUUUAGAGAGUUGUGUGUCUGGCAGAAACCGCAGCUUGGUUGUGGGAGGAUAGAGAAAAGAGAAAAAAAAACCGUGCAACAUCACUGGCUUCGUUGCCGUUGCUUGUGCCAGGGUUCCAGCUGAUCGUGGAAAAAAUGAAUCGGCCUCUGACGGCCAACUCUCGCAACGAGGCUGAAAUGAUGUCGAAAGCCAAACGCCAGCAAACCAUGGCGCAAGAUCCACUUGAAAAACUCCGGUGCCAACUACUGUCUCGAGGUUCCACGGGUAUUAUCGGAUUUGGCAAGCAAGUACCUAAAAACAACAUACAAUAAUAAAAUUUCGUUCUUUGUACUGCGCCUGCAUGCCUGCAACCUAAGUGUUCUGUUACGGGUUGAAUUAUGCCUGUUUAUCCUCCUCUCUGUAAUUGUCAGACUAUCACACCAUAAGAUCCGACUGGACUUCUAAUUACAAAAUGUGGUUCGAUUGGCUGGCGUACAAAUUCCAAUCGGUUAAAAAGGCAUCCUACACUGUAUUACGUAAAUACAAAGUAACGAACUCUA